GCGAUUUCUGUGACUCCUGUGUUUUCUGCGACUUACCACCGUAUGAAAAAGUUACAUCUGCCCACACAGAAAAUUGCAUCUCAACAAACCUGUCAUUGGUACCCGAACUACAUUUCAGUCACUCAGUAAAUUGAUAACUCAAAAUAUCAUUGUCACCAGAUCUGGAGAAAUCACCACUGCGUUUUCGUCAGACAAGAGACACAGUUCUGACUUUUGAUUACUGGUUGCUGUACGUAUUUAUCCACAUCAAGGCUGUUGAGAGAGACUCGUGAAGAUUCAAGACAGCUCAUAGAGGAUUUGCAGUUUAAAAGUGACAUAAUUGUGAAAUAAGUGUGCAGAUGAGUGAUUAAACUGUGUUUUAUUGAAGUUGUUAUGCAAUUUUAAAGGAAUAAUAAAUGUUAAAUACAGUGAGUGAAUAAUGAAAAUCUCA